rnacentral:rRNA from 1 species
GACGAACGCUGGCGGCGUGCUUAACACAUGCAAGUCGAACGGGAUCCACUGGGCUUUUGUUUGGUGGUGAGAGUGGCGAACGGGUGAGUAAUGCGUGACUAACCUGCCGUAUGGUUGGGGAUAGCUCCUGGAAACGGGUGGUAAUACCCAAUGCUCCAGCUGGAUGCAUGUCUGGUUGGGAAAGCUUUUGUGCCAUAUGAUGGGGUCGCGUCCUAUCAGCUUGUUGGUGGGGUGAUGGCCUACCAAGGCGUCGACGGGUAGCCGGCCUAAGAGGGCGACCGGCCACAUUGGGACUGAGAUACGGCCCAGACUCCUACGGGAGGCAGCAGUGGGGAAUAUUGCACAAUGGGCGCAAGCCUGAUGCAGCGACGCCGCGUGCGGGAUGGAGGCCUUCGGGUUGUAAACCGCUUUUAUAGGGGGGCAAGCUAUGCCUGUGUGGUGUGGUGAGUGGACUUUAUGAAUAAGCACCGGCUAA